GCCUCCACAAGUGUCCUCCAAAACCCUAGCCAGAGGAGGUCCAGGGGUGCCACGUCUGCAUACGUUCCCAGCCUCUGCUCUCUGCUCAGGCAGAGAUCCGGUGCUGGCACGUGGCAUGUGGCGCAUGGCGAAAGCCGCCAGGCAUGGCCCGACGCGUGCCACAAGCGUAGGGGCCAUCCACAUUAAAUGCGGGCAAGAUGCGCGCCUAUUCACACAAGUGAC
rnacentral:lncRNA from 7 species